AUUAAACGCUGGCGGCACGCCUUACACAUGCAAGUCGAACGGUAGCGCGGGGCAACCUGGCGACGAGUGGCGAACGGGUGAGUAAAGCAUCGGAACGUGCCCUGGAAUGGGGGAUAACGUAGCGAAAGUUACGCUAAUACCGCAUAUUCUGUGAGCAGGAAAGCAGGGGAUCGCAAGACCUUGCGUUCUGGGAGCGGCCGAUGUCGGAUUAGCUAGUUGGUGGGGUAAAAGCCUACCAAGGCGACGAUCCGUAGCGGGUCUGAGAGGAUGAUCCGCCACACUGGGACUGAGACACGGCCCAGACUCCUACGGGAGGCAGCAGUGGGGAAUUUUGGACAAUGGGCGGAAGCCUGAUCCAGCCAUGCCGCGUGAGUGAAGAAGGCCUUCGGGUUGUAAAGCUCUUCGUGGGAGAAU
rnacentral:rRNA from 1 species